AUUGAACGCUGGCGGCAUGCCUUACACAUGCAAGUCGAACGGCAGCACGGGAGCAAUCCUGGUGGCGAGUGGCGAACGGGUGAGUAAUAUAUCGGAACGUGCCCAGUCGUGGGGAUAACGUAGCGAAAGCUACGCUAAUACCGCAUACGAUCUAUGGAUGAAAGCGGGGGAUCGCAAGACCUCGCGCGAUUGGAGCGGCCGAUAUCAGAUUAGGUAGUUGGUGAGGUAAAGGCUCACCAAGCCGACGAUCUGUAGCUGGUCUGAGAGGACGACCAGCCACACUGGGACUGAGACACGGCCCAGACUCCUACGGGAGGUAGCAGUGGGGAAUUUUGGACAAUGGGCGCAAGCCUGAUCCAGCAAUGCCGCGUGCAGGA
rnacentral:rRNA from 1 species